GGGGCUUUAUGCUCCCCUGCAGAGAGGAGGGUCAUGUGUCUGGGGCGCCGGGCGAGACCAUGUGACGUUAAUCCAUCUCUCUCCCUCACACACACACACACACACUCACACACACUCCCGCUCAGCCACCCAGCGGAAAGAGAGACAGCAGGUUCCUGCUGAACCACGUUCCUGUCUACCUUCUACACGGUGUUCUAUACGGUGUUAUGUAACGUUCUGGAGGCCAAACGUACAGAAUUCUGUUGAAAUAUGGCGAGCUUGAAUGGGAAAUAAAACAUAUUGACCCCUGAGAGCCACCAGGAACCCGUGUCACUGUUCAGGGACCAGAGCAGCAGGUGCGUCCAGAUAGGAAAGUUAUUGGAGUAAAAGAGCUGGACGCAGCGUCCCCACCCCCCUCCCCGGGGACGGGGACUGGAAUGGAGGUGGCGGGGGAGGGGCUCUGCUGGCCUGACGGUGUCACUUCCCUCCACUUUGGCCUGGCCGCCUGCCAGAGAGACACGGCGGCCAGCGGCAAGAUCCGGAGUGGAGUCCGGCCACCGUGGACCGACACCAACGUCAUUACAUCUACAACUCAACACGAAAAAAAGGGGACUUUCCACCAGCAGCGUUCCGUCUUUCUAUCUGCGUGACGAAGUACUAGAUGCAGCCGAGAGAGUCUGGACACAGAAGAUGCGAAAAGGCCACCAGGUUCCAGGUUCUGGGCUCCUCUAACCUGUUGGUCAUCAUGGCUCCAGGUUCCAGGUUUGUCUCUCCUCUGCUGGUCAUCUCGGCUCCAGGCUCCAGGUUCCUCACUCCUGCUGGUCAGCAGGGUUCCAAGUGUCAGGUUCCUCUGUCCUGAUGAUCAGCACUGUUCCAGGUUCCUCUCUCCUGAUGGUCAUUACAGCUCCAGGUUCUACUUUCCUGCUGGUCAUCACAGCACCAUCUUCCAGGUUCCUCUCUCCUGCCGAUCACCUCGGCUCCAGGCUCCAGGUUCUAGGUUCCUCUCUCCUGCCGAUCACCUCGGCUCCAGGUUCUAGGUUCCUUUCUCCUGCUGGUCAUCUCGGUUCCAGGUUCUAG
ensembl:lncRNA